UGAGGAAUAUUGGGCAAUGCCCGCAAGGGUGACCCAGCAACGCCGCGUGGAGGAUGAAUGUCGUAAGAUUGUAAACUCCUGUUAGAGGGGAAGAAUAGUACCGGUUGGACCGGUAUAUGACUGUACCCUCAGAGAAAGCCCCGGCUAACUACGUGCCAGCAGCCGCGGUAAUACGUAGGGGGCAAGCAUUGUCCGGAUUUACUGGGUGUAAAGGGCGCGCAGGCGGGAUAAAAAGUCAGUGGUGAAAUCCUACAGCUUAACUGUAGAACUGCCUUUGAUACUUUUAUUCUUGAGUUCGGGAGAGAGAGACGGAAUUCCAGGUGUAGUGGUGAAAUACGUAGAUAUCUGGAAGAACAUCAGUUGCGAAGGCGGUCUCUUGGUCCGACACUGACGCUGAGGCGCGAAAGCGUGGGGAGCAAACA
rnacentral:rRNA from 1 species